GGGGGUAUAGCUCAGCUGUACAGCAUUUGACUGCAGACAAAAAGGUCCCUGGUUCAAAUCCUGGGUUCCCCU
rnacentral:tRNA from 1 species